rnacentral:rRNA from 1 species
GAUGAACGCUGGCGGCGUGCCUAACACAUGCAAGUCGAGCGAACAGACGAGGUGCUUGCUCCUCUGACGUUAGCGGCGGGAGGGUGAGUAAAACGAGCAUACCCUACCUAUAAGACUGGGAUAACUUAGGGAAACCGGAGCCAAUACCGGAUCAUAUAUUGAACCGCAUGGUUCAAUAGUGAAAGACGGUUUUGCUGUCACUUAUAGAUGGAACCGCGCUGCAUUAGCUAGUUGGUAAGGUAACGGCUUACCAAGGCAACGAUGCGUAGCCGACCUGAGAGGGUGAUCCGCCACACUGGAACUGAGACACGGUCCAGACUCCUACGGGAGGCAGCAGUAGGGAAUCUUCCGCAAUGGGCGAAGGCCUGACGGAGCAACGCCGCGUGAGUGAUGAAGGUCUUCGGGUCGUAAAACUCUGUUAUUAGGGAAGAACAAAUGUAGAAGUAACUAUGCACGUCUUGACGGUACCUAAACAAAAAGCCACGGCUAACUACGUG